ACGCUCGACACCUACGGGAAGCAGCAGUGGGGAAUAUUGCACAAUGGGGGAAACCCUGAUGCAGCGACGCCGCGUGAGCGAAGAAGUAUUUCGGUAUGUAAAGCUCUAUCAGCAGGGAAGAAACUGACGGUACCUGACUAAGAAGCACCGGCUAAAUACGUGCCAGCAGCCGCGGUAAUCUGAGCGGGCUGGCAAGGC
rnacentral:rRNA from 1 species